UACGAAGGGGGCUAGCGUUGUUCGGAUUUACUGGGCGUAAAGCGCACGUAGGCGGGUCGUUAAGUCAGGGGUGAAAUCCUGGAGCUCAACUCCAGAACUGCCUUUGAUACUGGCGAUCUCGAGUCCGGGAGAGGUGAGUGGAACUGCGAGUGUAGAGGUGAAAUUCGUAGAUAUUCGCAAGAACACCAGUGGCGAAGGCGGCUCACUGGCCCGAUACUGACGCUGAGGCACGAAAGCGUGGGGAGCAAACAGG
rnacentral:rRNA from 1 species